rnacentral:rRNA from 1 species
AGGGUGUAAACGCUGCGGGCUUGGUGUUGGGGGUCCGUUUUGUAGGGCGGCCCAGUGCCGGAGAGAAGUUGUUAAGCCUGCUGCUUGGGGAGGUACGUCCGCAAGGAUGAAACUUAAAGGAAUUGGCGGGGGAGGCACCGCAACGGGAGGAGCGUGCGGUUCAAUUGGAUUCAACGCCGGACAACUCACCAGGAGCGACGGUUACAUGAAGGCCAGGCUGAUGACCUUGCCUGAUUAGCUGAGAGGAGGUGCAUGGCGUAGUCGUGU